rnacentral:rRNA from 1 species
CCUACGGGGGGCUGCAGUGGGGAAUAUUGGACAAUGGGGGGAACCCUGAUCCAGCCAUGCCGCGUGUGUGAAGAAGGCUCUCGGGUUGUAAAGCACUUUCAGUGAGGAAGAACGCCUGGUGGUUAAUACCCAUCAGGAAAGACAUCACUCACAGAAGAAGCACCGGCUAACUCCGUGCCAGCAGCCGCGGUAAUACGGAGGGUGCGAGCGUUAAUCGGAAUUACUGGGCGUAAAGCGCGCGUAGGUGGCUUGAUAAGCCGGUUGUGAAAGCCCCGGGCUCAACCUGGGAACGGCAUCCGGGACUGUAAAGAUAGAGUGCAGGAGAGGGAGGUAGAGAUCCGGGGGUAGCGGUGAAUGGCGUAGAGAUCGGGAGGAAUACCAGUGGCGCAGGGGGGCUGCGGGACUGACACUGACACGGGUGUGCGACUGCGUUGGUAGCAAACAGGAUUAGAGACCCCAGUAGGC